UUUUAAUGACGGUGUUUAAUAACCGUAAUCGAAUAGAAAGAAUCAUUUUUAAUACAUUUCAUGACCGUUUUAUAAUAACCGUCGUUAUAUGUUAUUUGCCUUAAAAAAUUUUUAAAAAAAAGCCGAUAAAAGGAAUAAAGGAAACGCGCAAUCCCUAACCACUCACAUUCGUUGUCUUCUUCUUCAAUUUUCACGAAUUACAAUCACAACGACUCACUCAGUCACACACACCAGCCCUAACCCCACCUAAGCUAUCAAACGCCAAUGCCGCUGCCGCUGUCAAAUCGAUUCAAGUGCUCCGGCGCUGAGUCUAGCCGUCCUUGAGCCGAUUUGCUUCCUUUUUCUGCCGCCGCUGUCAAUCUCUGCCAUUUUUGAGCCGAUUCACUUCCGCAAAACAGCUGCUGUCAUCUCUGCCGACAUUGCCUCUGUGUUCGUUCACCGUCAGAUGCAGUGUUAUUGUGGUGACACUGCCUCCGCUAUCAAGUCAGUUCAAAUUUUCUGGGUGCUAUCUCGAAAAUGUUUGUGAGAUUGUUGCCAAUGAUAUUCUAAAAUUUUGAAUUCAGGGUUAUUGUUUCACCACUGUGAGUUGCUUUCUCCAAUUUUGCAAUUCUUUCCUCUUAAUUUGCUUUGAAAUAUUUGCUCGUUGGAUUUAUUUCCUCUUCAUUUAUUUCGAUUUGGUGAUUUUGUGUUGUGUAGCUUGUACCUUAGUCUCUCCUUUUCCUUUCAUAAUAUUAUAAAAUAUGUCGUGCACUUUGGCCUUUCGUUUCUUGAUUUUCUUGGUUAAUGAAUUUGGAAAAAGAGUGAAUUAUGGGUAAGGGGAUAGAAAAUCACAUUGACAGAAAAGAGGACUGAAACGCCCUGAUUUUUACUAAGUGGAGUUUACUUAUUUGUUAAAAAAAUAAAUUUUAAAUUAUUAAUGAUUUAAUUGUCUUAUGCUUAUUAUAUUGUUCGUAAAAUUUUUGUUACAAGUCCAGCCCAUGAACCUCUUUAUGUUUUAGCAUUUCUUUAUUUAUUUACGAAACGAAAACCAGCGUUCGAAUUCAAAAGUAACAAAACAGAAAAAGGAAGAAAGGAAACAAGAGGAUAACAGGACGUGAGAGAGGAGAAGAGGGAGAAAGAAGAGAAAGACAAGAGAGGCUAGGUGAAGGAUUUGGAUUUAAAGAGAGAGAAUUCAAUUUCAGAGCAAAAUAUUAAAUAUCUGGCUUUUUAAAUUUGUAAGCCUUAUUCAAUUUCAGAGCAAAAUAUUAAAUAUCUGGCUUUUUAAAUUUGUAAGCCUUCUUUCUCAGUUCACUUUAUUCUUUUAUUUUUCUUCAAAAUUCUUGUUUAAAUUGGCAUGCUUGUUGAUGUUGUUAAGUCAUUUCUAAAUUAACUUGCAUGCAUGAUUAAAAUUCUGUUUAUUUAGGUAUUAUGUCAUUGAAAUUAGUCUCAUUUGCCAUGCUUGUUUCAAGUUCCGAUUCUUAUUUGAAAAAAAAAAAAUUUCUAUGUUCGUUCCAUAAUCUGUUUUGGGUAUUAAAGUUGAUACUACCUAGCAAAUUCUAAACUGUAAUGGCUGAUUUCUUCUCUUAUUUUUGUUUAAUCUAUUCAAAUUCAUGUAUAAAUUUACAGGUGUCAGAUAUUUGCCUAAUUAUCAUGUAUGUGUUAAAUUCAUUUUGGGUGAAUUUUUAUACUAUUUAAUCAACUUCAAAGUUACAUGGGUUUGGCCAAUUAUCACAUAAUCUCUUCUUUGACUAUUUGAUUAGAUUUUUGUUCAUGCGUGGCUUAAUUAAUUUCGAAAUCUUCUUACUUGUGAGUGUGGUCAAACCCCAAACAAAUGAAGAAGUCUUCUGGUUUUAUGUCUUAAAUAGAGUGCCUGUAAAUAUAAAAUCGAGAUUGAGCUAAUGAGUGAAAAUGAUGGUACUUGGAUUUUUUGAGGCUCUGUUUUUUUUUCUUUACUUUAAAAGCUAAUUUGUUUAGCUUUACCUUUGAUUUGAAUUUUUUGCUUCUGUUCUUUGCAGCCAACCUAUGAAAAUGGUGAUAAUUGGGCUCCAAUAAAUAUUGAUUUAAUAGGAACCACAUUGGUAAGCCUAGUUGCAAGACAAGAACUACUUUGCAAAGCAUGCUAUGUGUAUAAUUCUGAGCAUUAAGGAUUCAGUUUCUGAACGGCAAGCUUGCUGGCUGGGUAUAAAUGUUCCAAGUGCCAAUCCCACCUUAUGUAAGCACAAAAUAUAGUCUCCAUUUCCUUUUUGGAUUAUAUUUGUUUGUAUAGUUAUAUGAUACUGGAUUUUAAUUUAAGAAUUUGUGCAGUACAUUUUUUUACUGUUAGGAGUUAGUUUGAUCAAGGUUAUUUAAGUACUAAACUGUUACAAUUGAGCUUGUAUGCAUUUAAGUUCUUUAUAUGUAAAUGACAAUUAUAUCAAUGUGUAAUGUAAAUUGAAAUUUGCCAAUGUGGCUUCAAUUGUACAGUUUAGAAUGUGAAAAUAACUAUCUAAAUUUUAAUUUAAAAAAACAAUUGAAGUAUAGUAAUUUUAAAUUGUUAUUUUUUUUUUAUUUUUACUCGUGCAAAAGAUGACGGUUCUUAUAUAAGAACAGUCAUCAAAGAGCGAUAUAAGAUGACUGUUAUGAUACAAAACCGUCACUAAAAAUUAAUAUUUAAUGACGGUUAUUAAAAAUCCGUCAUUAAAAGUAUAUAUUUAAUGACGGUUAUUGGCAAAAAACGGUCAUUAAAACUUAUGUACCUAUAGCAUAUAAUGACGGUUUAUUAGAAUAACCGUCAUAAUAAGUAUACAUUUAAUGACGGUUUUUAAACCGUCAUAAAAAGUGUACCCCUUUUAAUGUCGCUGCCUAAGAUGACGGUUUUAAAACCGUCAUCUUAUGUCUUUUAAAACCGUCAUUAAAGGCCAAUUUUGUAGUAGUGGAGAUUAUCUUAUUACAAAACACAUGUUGUUUUUGAUCAAGUAUCUAGAUUAGUUCGAUUUCAUAAGUCAAAUCCACUGUCAUUUAGACUAGUUCUGUAUCUAAAACAUAAAAAGGAUCAAGAAUAUACUUCUGUAGAAUCAAGACUUAAAAAACAUCAUGGACUCAUGAUAACUCUAGAGGUAAAGCCAAACGGUAAGCAACUAGACUAACAUAUUGAAUAAUCUCAGAUGGGCCUUUAUAACGAGGGCUUAACUUCCUAUGUUUUCCAAAUUGAAGAAUGCCUUUCUAAAGGGAAAUCCGUAGGAAAACUAUAUCAUCUACUGCAAACUCAAGUGGCCUUUAAUGCUUAUCUGCAUAUCCCUUUCUGUCCAUCCUACGCUAACUUUAACUUCGUAUGUUUUCCAAAUUGAAGAAUGCCUUUCUAAAGGGAAAUCCGUAGGAAAACUAUAUCACCUAUUGCAAACUCAAGUGGCCUCUAAUGCUUAUUUGCAUAACCCUUUCUGUCUAUCUUACCCUAACUUUGACUUUUCUCUGAUGACAUUAAUCUUCUGAUUAGUACUUUGGAUGAUUUCUGGUUUCUGGACUUAACAAUUGCCUUUCCUUGACUUCAUCCCAACAAAUAGAAGUCCUGCAUUUCCUUCCAUAUAGAGCCUCAAAUGGUGCCAUUUAAAUACUAUACUAAUAAUAAUUAUUAUUAUAAGUAACUUCCAUCAAAGGCAAGUAUAUAUCUUAAUUGCCUCGAAACUGCAUGAGGCAUGCUCGAAGCAUAUCUUUUAAAAUUUGAAAAAACCCUCUUUGAUUGCCUAUUUGUUUACAGAUGAUAAGCUAUACGAUAAUAUAAUCUAGUACCUAUAAACUACUAUAAACAAGGCCAAACCCUAGAAGUAAACAGUACAUCUUUAUCUGAAAUAAAAGGUAUAGGAGCUCCAUACAAAUUUACUAUUUCCUUUAUAUAAAAGUUUGCAAUCAUACCAUAAGAGUACAUGCUCUUAUAAGGCAAAAAGUGAGCAAACUUUGUGAGGCAAUUAACAAUAACCCACACAUUAUUAUAACCACUAUUAGUAUGAGGAAGUCCUAUUACAAAGUCCAUUGUGAUGUGUGUUGGUGUAUAAAUACUAAUGCUAUUGGUGUCAAUGUGCAAGUGUACACAACAAGUAAUAAAAUUAUGAGUAUUUAAGAUCGUCUCCACAGAGAUUGAUGUUAUCAGAUUUGCUACAACAAUCUUAACAGUGCAGAUUUUGUGUCUAAAUUAAGAUAAACAACUGAUGAAACUAAUUUACUAAUUAAAAUAAAAAUAAAAUAAAUAAAAUGCAACAAAGUAGAUUAUCACGUCAAACUCAAGGAUAAAACUAAUGAGAAUAUAUAGUAGUUGAGUGAGUAAACUCUCUUAAUGAUUUUGACUAUUUUCUAAUGGUUGGCUCGGUUACUGCAGUAUCUGCUAUAGCACUGGGCAGAAUCCUUAUGUAUCCUCAGCCAUCGCAUGUUGGAUAUCUUAUAUCUAUAUGCAACCUAACAGUGAUCAAUUGUUAUGCCAACAUAAGAUAUAGCAUUACACGCUUAGGUUCCAUUUACCCUACAAGGUGAGUUCCUAUGUCUAGUUCAUCACUAAUCUUAAAUCAAACAUGGCCCUUUUGGGACUCAAGUAAAACUCAAUCCGGGAAACCCAAUUUAAGAUCAAGUAUUGCUUUGAUAUGUUUCACUAAGAUAGGCCCUUUUGCGGCUCUCUCCUAACUUGUAUCAUUAAAUGGGUGAUCAACCGAAAUAAUGAAUAAAAUAAAUACUAUCAAAAUAAAUUGCUACAGCAAACAUACAGCAACACAUAUAUUCAGUCAAUAAACUAUCAAGAUUGUUUAUCACUCAACCACAAAUAAAUUUAGUUCAUGGUUUGCAAAAGAAAAAUAAAGAACAAAGUUCCAGCCAUGAAACAUAUCCCCAUAAAUAAAUAAAUAGAAAACGAGAAAGCAAGAGAAGAAUAAGAAUGAUUGAGCUCCCAAUUGAUUUCUGCAAAUUCUCCUCUUGUGCAGCCCUUAAUCUCUCUCUUGAAUCUUGUUUUUCUUUUGUUUCUUUUUGUUUUUCUCCUUGGGUGACGGCUCUCCUCCAUUCCUUAUGAUGUGUGCUUCUUUUAUAGUUGAAAAUUAGGGUAAACGAAAGCCUAAGUCGCGCAUAAGUCAUAUUAGGAAACUGCAGAUCGCAAUUCUGCAGUUAUCCCGCAUAGAAUUUUCUCUGUCGUUGUUCCAGGAUUGCUACAGCAACGGCUACAGCAAUGGUUGCUAUAGCAAUAUCUAUAGCAACUACACUGUUCCAGAUUUGUUUCAACUCUUUUGUAGCCAUGUUCUUUUCUUAUUUUUUGCAAGUCUAUUGCAUAACAUUCCUUCCAUGAAUUAUAAGCUUCUGGAAACCUACAAUUAUGCACACAAUUUAAGCACAAAUUACUUUAAAUCGAGCAAAACUUAUUAAGAUUGACUAAAAUAAUUAUUUAUGCAAAAUGUAACAAAAAUACAAUAGAAACACAUAAUUUACUCUCUAAAUAGUAUUGAUUUAAAUCUAAAAGUGCCAUGAUAACUCUCAUUUCAUAGAGUUAUCAAUGUGCUCCCAUUUCCACUCAAGAAUAGACAGUGGUUGAUGUUCUCCUAUAGGUUUCUAAUGUUUUACGUUAACUUGCUGACAAGUUAAACAAUGUGCUAUAAACUACACUAUUUCUCUCUUCAUCCCCUCCCACCAAUAAUGGUCCCUCAAAAUGCGAUACAUCUUCUUCCUACCUUUAUGCAUAGUAUAUGCCGAACUAUUUGCUACUUCUAAAAUCUGGUUCUUCAAAUUUGAAUUAUUCGGCAAACAAAGUCUACUGCCCAUAACUAAAGUUAUAUUAUCUCUCAGUGAAAAGUUAGUAUGCAGUACAUUAUUCACAUAUUCUUUUUUUUAAUCAAUUUCGAAUCUUGAUCCUGCAUCUCUUGAAUCUGAUCAAUCAAAACAGGCCUCGCCUGAAAAUGUGCCAAAAGUGCUCCAUUAUGAUCCACUGCCACUUCUAUAUCUAAAGACUUCAAAUCAAUCAACAACAAAAGGUAUGACACUUUCAAGUGGGAUAUCAAACUCAAAGACUUCCUACGGAGAGCAUUAGCUACCAUUUUACCUUGCUUGGAUAGUAAUCAAUGACACAAUCGUAAUUUGCAAUCAACUCAACCCAUUUAUGUUGUCUCAAAUUUAAUUUCUUAUGUAUGUAUAAGUGUUUCAGGCUUUUUUGGUUUGUAUAAAUCUCACAAACAUCUUCAUAUAAAUAAUAUCUCUAAGUCUUUAAAGUAAACACCACUACUAUGAGCUCUAAAUCAUGUGUUGGAUAAUUCAAUUAGUUUUGCAUAAGCUAUUGGGAAGCAUAAGCAAUUACCUUUCCAUGCUGCAUCAAUACAUAACUCAAUCUCUAUCUUAAUGCACCAAUGUAAACUAUGAAUCAUUUUUUACCUUAUAGAAGUGUAAGAAUUAGAGUUGUAGUCAACCUUUUCUUAAGUUCUAGGAAAGUCUAUUCACAAUCAUUUGUUCAUUCAAAUUUCACUUUCUUCCUUGUUAAUUUAUUCACAAUCAUCUGUCCAUUCAAACUUCACUAUCUUCCUUGUUAAUUUCAUUAGAGGUAAAGUUAUCUUUGAAAAACCUUCGACAAAUCUGUGAUAAUAACCUGCGAAGCUAAGAAAACCCCUGACCUCUUAUAUAUUAGUCAAUCGCUCCCAAUUACCUACAUCUUUUAUUUUCUAGAGAUCUACAUAAAUACCCUUAAUAGAAAUCACAUGACCUAAGAAUUCAACUCUAUCUAACCAAAAUUGACAUUUAUUGAAUUUAGUAUAAAGCUGCUGAUAACUCUAUAAAAUGAGAGUUAUCAUAGCACUUUUAGACUUAAAUCAAGAUCACUUAAAGAGUAAAUGAUGUGUUUUUAUUGCAUUUUUGUUACAUUUUGCAUAAACAUUCAUUUUAGUUUAGUCUUAAUAAGUUUUGCUUGAUUUAAAGUAAUUCGUACUCAAAUUGUCUUCAUAAUUGUAGGUUUCCAGAAGCUUAUAAUUCAUGGAAGGAAUGCUGAUGCAAUAGGCUGGCAAAAAUAAGGAAAGAAUAUGGCUACAAAAGAAUUGAAACAAAUCUGGAACAGUGCAGUUGCGGUAGCCAUUGCUGUAGCAAUCCUGGAACAACAACAGAGAAAAUUCCGC
rnacentral:lncRNA from 1 species